rnacentral:rRNA from 1 species
GAUGAACGCUGGCGGCGUGCCUAAUACAUGCAAGUCGAGCGAACAGACGAGGAGCUUGCUCCUCUGACGUUAGCGGCGGACGGGUGAGUAACACGUGGAUAACCUACCUAUAAGACUGGGAUAACUUCGGGAAACCGGAGCUAAUACCGGAUAAUAUAUUGAACCGCAUGGUUCAAUAGUGAAAGACGGUUUUGCUGUCACUUAUAGAUGGAUCCGCGCCGCAUUAGCUAGUUGGUAAGGUAACGGCUUACCAAGGCAACGAUGCGUAGCCGACCUGAGAGGGGAUUGGCCCACACUGGAAGUGAGAGCGGGUCCAGACCCUCACGGGGGGGACAGGAGGGGAGUUUACAGAAAUGGGGGAACGCUUGAGGGGCAAACGCGGGGGGAGUGAUGAAGGGUUCGGGAUUGUAAAACCUUUUUAUGAGGGAAAAACAAAUGUGAAAGGAAUGUUGGACGUUUGGACGGAACUUAAGAAGAAACCCCGGGCAAAUACGUG